UGAUGUUGUAGGGGUCUUGAGUCUCUGUUAUUUUUCUAGUUUUUGGGUAAACUUGAAAAAAUUACAAAAAGAUUUUAUUUAGUUUUAUUUUUUUGGGUUAUUUUAUUUGUUUCACACUUCACCACCUCGUGGUUUUUCUUUUCACUUCUUUUCCAUGGGGGUUCCCCUUGAACCCAUUAUCCUUUUUCUUUUUAGGAGUAAAUAUUAAUUUUUUUUGUUUUAGGUAAGUG
rnacentral:lncRNA from 1 species